AGCAGCCGCGGUAAUUCCAGCUCCAAUAGCGUAUAUUAAAGUUGUUGCAGUUAAAAAGCUCGUAGUUGAAUUUCGGGGUUAGUAGGCUGGUCGUGCCAAUGGUAUGUACUGGCUUUACUGAUUCCUCCUUCUUGAAGAACUGUAAUGCCAUUAGUUUGGUGUUGCAGGGGAUCAGGACUGUUACUUUGAAAAAAUUGGAGUGUUUAAAGCAGGUCUUACGCUUGAAUACAUUAGCAUGGAAUAAUGAAAUAGGACGUUGAUUCUAUUUUGUUGGUUUCUAGGAUUGACGUAAUGAUUAAUAGGGAUAGUUGGGGGCAUUAGUAUUCAAUUGUCAGAGGUGAAAUUCUUGGAUUUAUUGAAGACUAACGACUGCGAAAGCAUUUGCCAAGGAUGUUUUCAUUAAUCAAGAACGAAAGUUAGGGGAUCGAAGACGAUCAGAUACCGUCGUAGUCUUAACCAUAAACUAAUGCCGACUAGGGAUCGGAUGAUGUUAAUUUUUUUAAUGACUCAUUUCGGCGCC
rnacentral:rRNA from 1 species